GAUGAACGCUGGCGGCGUGCCUAAUACAUGCAAGUCGAGCGAACGGACGAGAAGCUUGCUUCUCUGAUGUUAGCGGCGGACGGGUGAGUAACACGUGGAUAACCUACCUAUAAGACUGGGAUAACUUCGGGAAACCGGAGCUAAUACCGGAUAAUAUUUUGAACCGCAUGGUUCAAAAGUGAAAGGCGGUCUUGCUGUCACUUAUAGAUGGAUCCGCGCUGCAUUAGCUAGUUGGUAAGGUAACGGCUUACCAAGACAACGAUGCAUAGCCGACCUGAGAGGGUGAUCGGCCACACUGGAACUGAGACACGGUCCAGACUCCUACGGGAGGCAGCAGUAGGGAAUCUUCCGCAAUGGGCGAAAGCCUGACGGAGCAACGCCGCGUGAGUGAUGAAGGUCUUCGGAUCGUAAAACUCUGUUAUUAGGGAAGAACAUAUGUGUAAGUAACUGUGCACAUCUUGACGGUACCUAAUCAGAAAGCCACGGCUAACUACGUG
rnacentral:rRNA from 1 species